rnacentral:lncRNA from 14 species
GGAGGGCAGUUCUGCAGGAAACCUGCAUUCCUGGAAAGGCAGGUUGGGCUGGGACAUGCCUGUGCUCUUGCUGUGCCCACUUCUUUGGACCCCAAACGUUUGUUAAACGUCUUUCCUUUGGAAAACAAAGCCAGGGCUUUGGGUGGUUCAAUUGAACGUCCUGGGGAAGACGCAUUACUGCCCCGAAAGAUUAAAUGGGAUAUUAUGAAGACAUCGUCUUUCAACAGCCCAAAAAGAAGGCUUGAUGGAUAUUGAAGCCAAGAGAAAAACAGCAUCAUUAAGCAGAAAAGAAGCAAGCAACACUGCACAAGUUUUUAGCAAUUAUUACAUUCAUGUUUGUUAGAUGUAAAUUAAAACUCAUGCUAAAUGCAGACACAAAACUAUGCUUUUCAAGGGGGUUUUGCAUUUUAGAUGCCAUGGG